UGCUUGUGGCUUCGGAGGUGCAGACUGUUCUGCAAUUCAACCAGGAGCAAGUUGCUAUAACCCAAACACUAUCCGCGACCAUGCUUCUUACGCGUUCAAUGAUUACUAUCAUAAGAAUCCGGCUCCUACAAGCUGUGUCUUUGGAGGAGCAGCACAGCUUACAUACACGGACCCAAGUAAGCUUUGUUCAUCAGAAAGGAACAAUCAAUUAUAUGAGUUCUCCAGUACUUACCUUGACACGAUUCAAACACAUCUUGACUCCCUCCUUGAACUGUUGCAGGUAAUGGAAACUGUCACUACCCCUCAUCCACAGGAUCAACCAGGUAAAUAUUUCAUGGCCAUACUUUAAUGUCAAUUUCUCUUUGUAAGAAAAGAC
rnacentral:lncRNA from 1 species